UACGAAGGGGGCUAGCGUUGCUCGGAAUCACUGGGCGUAAAGGGUGCGUAGGCGGGUUUUAAGUCAGGGGUGAAAUCCUGGAGCUCAACUCCAGAACUGCCUUUGAUACUGGGAGUCUUGAGUUCGGGAGAGGUGAGUGGAACUGCGAGUGUAGAGGUGAAAUUCGUAGAUAUUCGCAAGAACACCAGUGGCGAAGGCGGCUCACUGGCCCGAUACUGACGCUGAGGUGCGAAAGCGUGGGGAGCAAGCAGG
rnacentral:rRNA from 1 species